rnacentral:rRNA from 1 species
AACGAACGCUGGCGGCAUGCCUAACACAUGCAAGUCGAACGAGACCUUCGGGUCUAGUGGCGCACGGGUGCGUAACGCGUGGGAACCUGCCCUUAGGUUCGGAAUAACUCCCCGAAAGGGGUGCUAAUACCGGAUAAUGUCUUCGGCCCAAAGAUUUAUCGCCUUUGGAUGGGCCCGCGUUGGAUUAGCUAGUUGGUAGGGUAAAAGCCUACCAAGGCGACGAUCCAUAGCUGGUCUGAGAGGAUGAUCAGCCACACUGGGACUGAGACACGGCCCAGACUCCUACGGGAGGAAGCAGUGGGGAAUAUUGGACAAUGGGCGAAAGCCUGAUCCAGCAAGGCCGCGUGAGUGAUGAAGGCCUUAGGGUUGUAAAGCUCUUUUAACCGGGAUGAUAAUGACAGUACCGGGAGAAUAAGCGCCGGCUAACUCCGUG